UACGUAGGGGGCAAGCGUUGUCCGGAAUCAUUGGGCGUAAAGAGCGUGUAGGCGGCCAGAUAAGUCCGCUGUGAAAUCUCGAGGCUCAACUUCGAGCUGUCGGUGGAAACUGUCUGGCUAGAGUCCGGAAGAGGAGAAUGGAAUUCCUGGUGUAGCGGUGAAAUGCGCAGAUAUCAGGAAGAACACCCGUGGCGGAGGCGGUUCUCUGGGACGGUACUGACGCUGAGACGCGAAAGCGUGGGGAGCGAACAAG
rnacentral:rRNA from 1 species